rnacentral:lncRNA from 1 species
CCACGUUCCGCAUCACCGCUGCCCUUUAAACAAUUCUUGCACUCCUUCCUAGACCCCUUGACUGCAGCAGGGUUCCUGUUCACUUCUGCCGGAGAGGGACACUCAUCUGCAGCUGGGAUAGGAGAGGAGAAAGGAAGGGGUUACUCUCGGCAACAGCUGCGGCAGACGCAUGGUAACAGCAAACAGCAGACCCGGCUUCCGCUUGAGGGUUCAGGUGUCUUCCUAGGAAUCACCUAGCGUGCUUCUGCCAUCUGCCAAGGUCGUUGGCGACUGCUUCCCUGCUUGUGAGUUUCCUGGAGCAGCUUCUUCAUCGUACCUGGCUCCUGCAACCCUUCCAGAGGGUGCCCAGGAACAUCUUGCAUGAAGGAGUUGGCAUCACGGCUGAGCUCUGGGGCUGGAAUCCAGCCCCGAAGACUGUGGUCCUUUCUUUGUCGACACCGUACUGUCUUCUGCAACCGGAAGCCCGGCUUCUGAUGCCCUCUGGUUCCCAUCAUUCUUCCGUGUGUUUUCGCCUGCUGACCCGUUUUCCAGCACAUCAGGACAACACCGACUGAGCUUGUCAGCUUCCGCCAACCAGUAGCAUGAUGCCGGACUCAGACGCUUCUCUCUGCC